rnacentral:tRNA from 1 species
AUCCCAAUAGCUCAAAGGAUAGAGUAUCUGUCUCCNAAAUUAAAUUAAUAAGAAAACAGAAGGUUGCGGGUUCGAUUCCCGCUUGGGAUA